GAUCGGGGGUUAGCGUGUAUAGGGGAGCAGCAGCCGCAGCGCGCAGCGGUGCCUCAACCCAACCCCAACCCCGCCGCCGCCCCAAUCCCACCACCGGCGGCCUCCUCCUCCCCUAACACUGCCGCUCCAGCCCCUCACCUUCCUCGGCCGAUUUAGCGCCGUCGCCGCCCCUCAGCAUGCAACCUCUCCUCUCCUCCGCGGCUCCGCCUCUUCCUCCGGUGGCAUCCAACCCAAUCGUCAUCUCCUACUCCCCUCUCUUAUUCCCCUGUGCCUCGAUGAGGUGGGCCAAGCCGGCGCACGCAGCAAAGUGCGGCUGCGGAUGCAGCUCGGACGCGGGUGCGCGGAGGUGGAGGCGGAGCUGCGGCGGCUGGUGGUGGAUGGGAAUCCCGCCGACCGCGUCCCUCCCCAAACUGCAGCGAUGAUGGAGGGAGCCGCCAGCGCCGGCCAGCUACCGACCGACGGGCUCGCCGGGUCGCCGUUCCUCGGGGGCACCCCCUCUCCCCGUGCCAGAUCGUGCAUCGGCUUGGAGGCCCCUCUGGGCUGCCGCCGGUACGGGAGGCGUCCGCGGCCGUGCGGACUGGGGACCGAGCGGUGGGGCUCGUGGUGCGUUUCGGUCGAGGGCUUGCUCGAUCUGGCACGCGAUCUGAGCCCCCGUCGAUGGAUUUCUCGCAGCUCAGCUGCAUUUUGUUUUGGAUUCAGUACGACCCACAUCUCUCUCGCACACACACAUGUUGCGGCCGAAAUCACUGUUUUGGCUCAUUUGGAAAAGUUCAGCACAAAAUGAACCAUGUUGGAAACAUAUCUGGGGCGAUGAUGAUAAAACAUGGCUGACAUAAACAUGUGUUUGAUUAUUCGAGGACCUGUGGGCAUAAAAAACCCACUCCCUCCUCUUUUGGAACCUUUUCAUUCUCGCUGAAUAUUGACGGCUCUCUCUUGGAUGGUCACUCUUUGAGUGAUAACCAGAGGAGCUCGACUUCAGUGGUGGGGAUUGAUCUGGUGCAAGAAGAUGGUGGAGUCGUGGAGCUAGGUUGUAUGAUCUAUCAAAGGCGAAUCUGCGCCCUCUCAAAUCUCAAUGCAACUAAUAUUGUGGCCUCUACACAUAUAUUUACCCCUUUUAUGUUUAAAAGUGAUGAAUUGUUGUGGUUGUGGCAUCUGCUAUCUCAUUAAGAGCAGCUACGCACAUAUGACAUAUCACCUCUCGUGGUGUUUGGUUUGCCUUCUCAUGAUUUUGUUGUCCAUGGUGGGAACCAGUUUGGUGCAUUCAGACUUUUUCUUUUUCUGUUUUUACUUUUCCUUGAAUGGAUGUGAUCAUUCUGCUGUCCCUUGGAUAGUUUAUUUUAGGUUAUUUUAUCGGGUUUGGGUCAGUUUGCUUGUUUCAAUUGUUGUUUUACUUUUUAUAAUAUCUUCUACUAUACUAUUUAUCUACUUAUCAGUUUGUACUUUUGGUUACUCCCCACUUCUUUACUGGUUUCAACUUAUGGGUCAUAUAGGGAAAGUUCAGAUGUCAAGAUAACGCUUUCCUUCCUGUCAUGUUCAUGAAUGGCUAUGAUGAUAUAGCUUUCCUGCAUCGAUCUAACAUCUGUUUGGAUUUUGUAUAUUGAGCAUUUAGGAGGUUGUUCUGGAUUGAUGCGCUUUGUAGUGGCAGAAUUCAUGUUUAAUUUAUUGCAGGAUAUGAAAUUGAGAGGCUGAUGUAAAUUCGUUUGUGUGUAGAUUUUGUCAGUUCUAGGAUUGGAUGUUUAUUUAGUCUCUCUGUCUCUCCUGGAGGUUAGCAGAUUGAUGGAUUUGACUGCUGAUCCCUUUGUGUUGGCUGAUGGUGUUGAGAUAGAAAUAAGGAUUAAACAUGAUCCUGAUGCUGAGGCAAUAUUCCAAUAUCAUUAGAGGGCCAGUGUUCUUCCAAAGAUGAUUUAGAAUCUCAAAAAUGUUUCUUACGUAGUCAGGAAUUUGGGUUCAUGGUUGAAGUAACAAAUACAUAUGCAGCUUCUUGGUUCUGUUGUUUCCAAUUCCUUUUUUAGGUAUAUUUACAACCUUUGUUGUUCCAUAUAGUUUGUUUCUUAAAUAUCCUAAACAUAUAUUAUCGAAUACACUCACUUUCCUGUUUUUGUGAUAAAAUGAAAAGAAUAAUGUACAUGUUAAGGACAUGAUAAAUCUUCUUUCAAUUUGGUUAUGAUUUUAGAAUGCUCACAUAUAUUUUCUGUGUUGCAUCACCCCAUGGUCUGUGAUAGUGUCCAACUAGGGAUUUGAAUGUCAGGACCUAGCUAAAACUAUGAUGUUAUCAGGUUAAUAAAUAACACAGUACUUUUUAGCUAUUAGGUUCUAUGAGUAUGGCCGGGGUGAAUCCUUCAACUUUGCUCAUAGGCACUGAAAGAAUAAAUAAUUGAUCUUUCAUUUCUUCAUGAAAAAUAUGUCAUUUUGUUUUUAAAGAAAAGUUUAGUAGAACACUGCUAGCUAUAAUUCCCCAUGUGUCUUGGCAUUUUAGGUGGAGUGGGAACCUUUAAGAGGAAGUAUCAAGCGGCACAAGCACCUAUGGUAGAAUGAUGUGUUGAUAGUGUACCUAAUCCACCUGUAUUAACAAUGCAUAUGAUUUUUAAACUCAAGAUUAUAUUAUCAGCUGCAAUCUCUGUUCCCUUUUAAACUCAAGACUUUUAAACAAGAUCAUAUACAUUGUGAACCAAUCAACCAAACAUAGUUGAGUAUACAGUUUAAUUCUGCAAUUUGUUCUACUAGACAAAUUACUACUGUAUUGAAUCCUUGCUGUGGUGUGCUAAAUUGUUUCCUUAUGUUUGUACCUGCCAGUUCUAAGCACCUAUUCUUUUCUUCUUAUUUUGUAUCUAUACAUAACAAUUCUAUAUUUCUUACCUCUGCAAUUAUACGACCUGUAGCUUAUUCACAUGGAUCUUAAGGUACUAAACUUCCAAAUUAGAACCUGGCCUAAAUUUGAGAUUUCCCGAAUGUAUACUUUUGUUUUUCUUUCAUUCUUUGGAGGUGAUCUGUUGGUUGCUUAAUGCUCUUUACUGCAUGAGUAAAUUUCUUUUUCUUUAUUUCUAAAGUCAGUUUUAUUUUCUUCGUGAAGGUUUCCUGACGCAAAUAUGUAGUGAAAGCGGUUUGAGAAAAGAAGCAAAUCGUUCGAGCCAACCUAUUUAUAUGGUGUGGAGAAUAUAAGGUUCUUGACUUAUUGAUAUCAUCUAGUCAUUUUUAUAGGUGCCUGACUACAUAAUGAACUUUCUAGCUGUGUUGAUGGCAACAAGAAGAAAAGCUUCUUUGACCAGGUUUGCUAACUUAAUUCAAGCUAUCCUGGUGGACUGACAUCAUACAUCCAGAAUGCCAAAAGGCUUUUGGUAGAUUGCAAGGCAGGAUAAAAUCCAUACGAUGGUUCCACACCUUCAGAUAUGUAACAACCUUCAGUUCACAUGAUCUGAAAUAGCUCGGUGAACUUUCUUCCCACAUCAUGUUAGAAUUCUAUAUGGAGUUAUCUUGGCAUAUUAUUUAAUAGUAAUAAAGGCAAAAGAGAAAUUUUCAUGUCUGGGUACAUUUUAAUUUCAGUUACCACUACUAUGUUGCAAAUGAUAAUGGAUGCUGCCUUUUCCAAAGUACAACAAAGAUUUGGAAUUAUUACACAAGGACAUCACCAAAGCAAGUGUUCCUUAUUUAAAGAUUUCUUCAGCUCAAAAUGUUGUUGUACUACUAUGUCUUUUUGAACUGAAAAGUUUCCAGAUCCCAACUUUUCCUUUUUUAAAGAUUUCUUCGGAUCAAAUUGUUGUUGUACUACUAUGUCUUUUUUAACUGAAAAGUUUCCAGAUCGCAAGUUUUCCUUAUUUAAAGAUUUCUUUAGCUCAAAAUGUUACUGUACUACUAUGUCUUUUUGAACUGAACAGUUUCUAGAUCACUAAGGAUUGUCCUCUUCUUUGUUUAGAGAACUCGACAUUCAAACCUCGCUGGCGCUGGGCUAGAUGGGCUUGCUGGUAUUUUAUAGUCUGGUCAUAAGCAGAUUUGUUAUCUUCAAGUAAAGCUAAAUAUGAGUCACACCAACUUCCUUUAGUUCUUGAGAUUUUUUUGUUGUCCUUUGGAUUAACAAUCUGCCACAUUGCUCAUGGCUCUUGCAUUCACUCAAGAAUCAGGGCAAAGUGUGGAAUGACAACUGUUUUCAGAAGCAAAAAACUUGAAUUGGGAAUGGAACCCUUGAUGGAUUGAUGUUUGCUGAAGAAAGUCCUUGCAGCAAAGAAGAACAUGAAGCAGUCCAACCAACUGCUCCGAGAGGAACCAAGGCGACAUGCAAGUUGGCGUCUAUGAAGCUUUGUCGGAGCCAUUCCUGCUCUUCCAGAGCCACAAGGAGAGCCUAAAAGUCAGGGCAGAAACGUGUCCGGCUGUCGUACAAGAAGAAGUGUGCACGCCUGAGGAGCCAGGGCGCCAAUGGUGCGGAGUCGUUCGCCAUCAAGAGGACCAAAGCUGCCAUCAGUGACCACCGGAUCAAGCUCAACAUCUCCCUCACCUCUGUCAACGCCCUGUCCCAGAGGGUCGUCGCCGUCCACGAUGAGCCCGCAGCUCGCGGAGCUCAUCCAAAUGCGGGCAAGGAUGUGGCGACUCAUCGGCGACGUGCACCGGGUGAUGUAGUGCAUAGCGGACAAGGCGAGCGUGCUCCUCUCGUUGUCGGCCACAUGGUUGGAGGGAGGCAUCAAGGGCUCGCUACUACCGGGGCGGACACAUGCACAAUUUAUAUUGAUAUAUCUUAUUUUGCCAAACAGCAAGAUAUAUGCUCCUGAUGCUAUUAACCUGACAUGGAAUUUCAGUUUCUUUCACAUGAUACAUCAAUAAAUAUAUAGAGAUCCAGAUGUGUUGCA